CGAGGGUUCUCUGCGUCUGGAGAACACAGGACGUCCACAGGAAAGUUCUCCCCACUGCACUCCCGGCUGGCUCUGAAAAUUAUGAAGGCAGAGACGUCCGUGCCUGAUACUGUCCUGGCAGCCACGUGCCCUCAUACACUUGCCCAGACCCUGAAUGUGCUACACGGAGUGACCCCAAUUACACCGUGGGCCCCGGGUGACUGCGACACCUCUCUUUUCCUUAAAAUAAAGGCUCUAAAAUUGUGUGAUUCCACCUCCCUGAGGCUAAGCGAAAGAGCCGCGUCUGCCCCUGUCCUUCCCGGGGGCUGGCAGGGAGUGGGUGCCCGGCGGUGACUCAGCCCUGCAGCCUCCCAGCCCUUCCCCGUAUGCGGGCAGGUGAUGCGGACGCCUCCGACCCUCGUGGGGUUUGUGGAGAGCGUUGAUCAGCGCUGCCGUCAGAACAGGACCUGUGCGAGGCCUCGCAGAUGCCGGGAGCCGGGCGGUGCUCUCGGUGCUUCUCAUCAAAUCCACUGGCUCUUCGAGAGGAAGCACAUGUCACAGCCCAGCUCAAACAAGAAGCAAGAAAAUCACUCUUCAUUUUGGAAUUGUAAAAUAAAGUGGAAAUUAUCCUCA